CACUCUGACCAUCUGUUCCACGACACCUUGCUGCGUUAUGCACUGACGAUUAUUUCAAUUCGGAGGAGAAACGUUCCCCCUCCUCGCUAUGGCGGACUCACUCGAGUAGAACUGCCGUGUGGUGCACGGGCCACAGGGGCAAGAGUUAUCUGAAAAGCAAAAAAGACGAACAAUGAGGUAUGUCAUAUUCUCCACACACGACACACCCUGCUGAAUAUAGUAGAAAAAUACAAUACUCUGACCACUUAAAACGACACGAGACCAUUGGGAAAGAGGUGCUUGACGGAAUGGUGUGGGACAGGAGAGCCAGGCGAAGGGAAGGAGUAACAUGGAUGGACAACAUAUAAAAGACGGUGUCUGGCAUGGAUGUUAUAGAAGGUGCAGCGGCAGCUCGCGACCGUGAAAGAUGUAGGGUCAUAAUACGUCAGCCUAUGAGUCAGAGAUGACACCUCCAGGUAUCCAGGUAUCCAGGUAUCCAGGUAUUAUGAACAAUGUACAUUUCGGGACGUCUGAUUUUUCCCCUUCUUGUUACCUGUGUACCGGUACGCUGUGGUCCAUGUCAAAGGAAUAAAAGCAGUGCUACAUCA